CCCGCUUCAUACCGGGCGCCAGAUCAGUUCCUUUUUAAACCCUCAUCACGUCUGUGUUUUAACCAGGGCUGUGUCCCUUUUGUAUUGUUAGCUGGAUGUUAUUUUAUUGUAAUUUUGUAAAUUGUUUUUGUCUUUUUUUUAGUUGCUGGAGACUGGUGGUGCUGGUGGCCGGGUGGUGGUGUCCUACCCAUUAGUUUGCGGUGUCCUGGGAAGUGGGUUCCUCACUACGUCGAGGGGUUUUGAGUUUGAUUUCUUGAUUUGGUGGGUUCCCCCCACCGCCUCUACACCUAGCGUUGUCCGCCCACCCAGCUCCAGCCCUCAAAUUGUUCUAAUGGAUUUUCUUUUGAUUUGAAUUAAACUGCACUGAUUUUAAAAGUAUUUAAAAUAAAGUUGUACUUGUUCUAAAACCGUGAACUGCGUCUCCUGCCUAAUAAGAGUAAACUUACCUGUGGGCCUUGUACCGUCCAGAUUAUUUCUCGGGGUGAAAUUCCGUGUGGAGUUGUUGGUUUUUCUUUAUUUAGUUGCAUUCCCCUUUUUCACCCUAUCCUCGCCACAGGACAAGGCACACCGGCAUCCAAUCCUUCUAAUCAUCCUCCUCCAUAUAAGCCUGGGCGUCUCAUCACUUCGACGCCAGAUUAUUCCGUCCACUACGAACUCUCGUGUGCCCCCUCGCUCGGCUCUUCAUCCUCCCCGUUGCCAGGAUCCACCAGCCAGCCAAUAAACUCUGUUCGUAUACCCUACUACAAACCACUGUCUGCUUUGGGGUCCGAACCUUCACUUCAACGUAACUAUUUAUUGGUGAAUAGUUUACUGACUGCUCGGUAGUGUAUUAUUUUGAUCACUUUGUUUAAGGUAAAAAGGUUUUCAGGCAAGUUAGAUUUUGCAAGAGGAUUCAGAGGUUUUGCAAAUAGUGCUUGAAGAUGAGGUUUUGAGAAAAUGGGUUUAGUUUCAAGAAGUCUUAGUAAUCAAAACUGUCAUUUACAAAUAAUACAGGAUACAUAAUUCACGUUUCAAAAACACAAAUACUGACUAUUUGUAAAAUGUAUUUUGAUAUAUAAUGAAUAAAUACUUUUUUUUUCCUCGCUCAAGGUGGCCCUUUAUGUACCAGCUGCCACUGGUUGUUUUUGUUGUAUCCAAUGUCCUUACUUUAUGGAAGCAUUAUGAAGCUAAUGCAGUGUGAUGUAACCACAGCCCUGAGUUAAAUGGGUUAUUUGUUUAAUGACACGUGUACCAGGGACCUUCCUUUUUACAAAUAAAACCCCUUCUGAUAUCUGG
ensembl:lncRNA